rnacentral:rRNA from 1 species
CACGUAGGGGGCGAGCGUUGUCCGGAUUUACUGGGCGUAAAGCGCGUGUAGGCGGCUUUGCAAGUCGAGUGUGAAAGCCCCGGGCUUAACUUGGGAAUUGCGCUCGAAACUACUUGGCUGGAGUGUGGCAGAGGAAGGUGGAAUUCCAGGUGUAGCGGUGAAAUGCGUAGAGAUCUGGAGGAACACCGAUGGCGAAGGCAGCCUUCUGGGCCAACACUGACGCUCAUGCACGAAAGCGUGGGGAGCAAACAGG